GAAGCAGUUGGUAGCUCAGUGGUGGAGUGCAUGCUUUGUAUGUGCGACGGUCUGGGUUCAAAUCCCAGCUGCUUCC